UACAGAGGGGGCAAGCGUUGUUCGGAAUUAUUGGGCGUAAAGCGCGCGUAGGCGGCCACUUAAGUCGGAUGUGAAAGCCCCUGGCUCAACUGGGGAAGUGCACCCGAAACUGAAUGGCUUGAGUGCGAAAGAGGGUCGCGGAAUUCCCGGUGUAGAGGUGAAAUUCGUAGAUAUCGGGAGGAACACCGGCGGCGAAGGCGGCGACCUGGGUCGACACUGACGCUGAGGCGCGAAAGCGUGGGGAGCAAACAGG
rnacentral:rRNA from 1 species